GGUCCUUGAUGUGUAGGAUAGGUGGGAGGCUUUGAAGCGUGGACGCCAGUCUGCGUGGAGCCGCCCUUGAAAUACCACCCUUUAAUGGCUGGUGUUCUAACGUAGACCCGUGAUCCGGGUUGCGGACAGUGUCUGGUGGGUAGUUUGACUGGGGCGGUCUCCUCCCAAAGAGUAACGGAGGAGCACGAAGGUUGGCUAAUCCUGGUCGGACAUCAGGAGGUUA
rnacentral:rRNA from 1 species